rnacentral:tRNA from 1 species
GCCGUGGCUCAGUAGAAAAGCCUCUGCUUGCCAUGCAGAAGGUCCCAGGUUCAAUCCCUGCCAUCUUCA